rnacentral:rRNA from 1 species
CCUACGGGGCGCAGCAGUGGGGAAUAUUGGACAAUGGGCGAAAGCCUGAUCCAGCCAUGCCGCGUGUGUGAAGAAGGCCUUCGGGUUGUAAAGCACUUUCAGUGGGGAAGAAAGCCUUGGGGCUAAUACCCUCGAGGAAGGACAUCACCCACAGAAGAAGCACCGGCUAACUCCGUGCCAGCAGCCGCGGUAAUACGGAGGGUGCGAGCGUUAAUCGGAAUUACUGGGCGUAAAGCGCGCGUAGGCGGUCUGAUAAGCCGGUUGUGAAAGCCCCGGGCUCAACCAGGGAACGGCAUCCGGAACUGUCAGGCUAGAGUGCAGGAGAGGAAGGUAGAAUUCCCGGUGUAGCGGUGAAAUGCGUAGAGAUCGGGAGGAAUACCAGUGGCGAAGGCGGCCUUCUGGACUGACACUGACGCUGAGGUGCGAAAGCGUGGGUAGCAAACAGGAUUAGAUACCCCAGUAGUC